UGGGGAAUUUUGGACAAUGGGCGGAAGCCUGAUCCAGCCAUGCCGCGUGAGUGAAGAAGGCCUUCGGGUUGUAAAGCUCUUUCGGUGGGGAAGAAAUCGCAAUGGAUAAUACCUAUUGUGGAUGACGGUACCCGCAUAAGAAGCACCGGCUAACUACGUGCCAGCAGCCGCGGUAAUACGUAGGGUGCGAGCGUUAAUCGGAAUUACUGGGCGUAAAGCGUGCGCAGGCGGUUAUAUAAGUCAGACGUGAAAUCCCCGGGCUCAACCUGGGAACUGCGUUUGAGACUGUAUGACUAGAGGAUGGCAGAGGGGGGUAGAAUUCCACGUGUAGCAGUGAAAUGCGUAGAGAUGUGGAGGAAUACCGAUGGCGAAGGCAGCCCCCUGGGCUAUUACUGACGCUCAUGCACGAAAGCGUGGGGAGCAAACA
rnacentral:rRNA from 2 species